GACGAACGCUGGCGGCGUGCUUAACACAUGCCAGUCGAACGGAAAGGCCCUGCUUUUGUGGGGUGCUCGAGUGGCGAACGGGUGAGUAACACGUGAGUAACCUGCCCUUGACUUUGGGAUAACUUCAGGAAACUGGGGCUAAUACCGGAUAGGAGCUCCUGCUGCAUGGUGGGGGUUGGAAAGUUUCGGCGGUUGGGGAUGGACUCGCGGCUUAUCAGCUUGUUGGUGGGGUAGUGGCUUACCAAGGCUUUGACGGGUAGCCGGCCUGAGAGGGUGACCGGGAGAGGGGGAGAGGGGAGCGUGCCAGGGCUAGGAGGGGGGGGGGAAGGGGGGAAGAGGGGACGAUGGGGGGGGGCGGGGGGCAGCGCGGGCGGGGGGGGGAGGGCGGCGGUGGGUUUGUCCACCGUUUGCGCGGGUGACGGAGCGUGAGAGAGGGUGGGGGAAAAAGAGGCAGGGGGUAACUAGGUGCCAGCAGCGGCGGUAAGACGCGGAAGAGCCUACGUCUGAAC
rnacentral:rRNA from 1 species